GGCCAAUCCACUCCGCGUCUUCUGCAACCAAUCACCCAAUCCCUUCCUCGCCUCAGUCCCGUGCCAGCCGCCGCCCAAACCCUAGCCCCCGUUUCCCUCUAUCCCCACAGUAACCGCACCAAACCCUAGCCCCCCAUCCACAACCACCCGCUCCUUCUCACAGCCGCCGCACCAUUCCCCCCUUCCACCCCCUCCUCCUUCCCGGAUCCCCACCACGGCGCCGACCUGCAGGCAAAGGGCAACGAAGAGUGGCAGACGAGGACAACGAGGGAGAGAAAGAAGGGAGAAAAAAAGGAGGCUGGUGGCGAGGCCCAGCGACUAGCGCCUCUCCGCCUCAAGCCCUCGCAUCACCGCCACCAGAUAAAGGGCGAAGGCGGCGACGCUCGAGCAGAUGAGAGGGAGUGAGAGGUAGGUGCAGUAAGGCGACGGACGGGAGAGGGGCGAGGGCGAGCUCCAGCGCGAGCGCGCGGACCCAUCACCCACGCCAGCGAGGUCCUCGGCCCCGAGCUACGCCUCUACAACCGCGAAGGUGACUGCUGCGACCACGCUAGGUUUUGUUCAGUGCGCACACACACUGUGCCGUCUCCAGGUGCCAGUUGAACUUACUGUCGGGCUUUAUUGCCCUCCUCUGAUUUGGUGUUGUGGGAGAAAGAAGAAGAGCAGGCAUGUUCUCUGUUUCUACAUCCAGCGUCCACAGGUCUAGAUCGACGGGUCUAAACUCUUGAAUACAGAAAGAAUAAGCUACUAGCAUUCCUAAUGUGCAAGUAAACCUACUAGGAUUACGCCUGCAAAAAAAGUUCAUGAAAUAUGUUGAAGUAUGGCCUUGAAAGGCAAGUUGGAUGGUUGGAGAUGCUCAAAAGAUGUAACAAAGAGAGAAGAUAAGAGGGGGGGAGAGAAGGAGAAGAGGGAGUGCCCGAUUCGAUCUGCAGGAGAGAGAGAAGAUAAGAGGGAGAGAGAGAAGGAAGGAGAGGAGGGAGAACUCUAUUGCCGCCGCGUGCCGUACUUCUGGAUAGAGCACUGCCUGACCAAGGGUUAAGAGUAGAAGGUAAAAACCCUAGCCACAAUGCUCCCGUGCGGGUUGCAUCCCCGCAUCUCCCGUUUCAUUAUUUCACCAUCGCUGCCUCUUCUCCUCUUCGUUGCUCUACUUCUUCCCCUGAUUCCUCUUUUUCGUUUUUUCUCUUUGUGGCGCCGCCGAGGAUGAGUGGAGCGGCUGCUGAAGCAGGCACUGGUGCGCUGCUGGCGAAGCGGUGGUAAAUGGUGUCGUCGAUGUUGUCCUUGGCAGAAGGUAACCCAAGAUCAAUCUCUCACAAUAUUCCUUUGUCGUCUGUGUUCUUAUGAAACUUAGUGAUUGGACCUUCUCUAUUAUGUUUCACAAAUUGCUAUUUUUAGUUAUCCCCAUUGGCUUGCGGAUAUGCUCAUGCUGGGUUGUUCUUGUUUAUUUUCUCUAUCCAACAUCAUUGCAGGUUGGUGUUUCCUCUCUUUCUCAUUGCAGCUACCUAUGCCUCUAUUAUCUAGGAUUUUGCAAGUUAAAUACCCAUGUGUGCUGAACUGAAAAGUUCUCUAUGCAACAUCUAUUGCAGUUUGGUGUUUCCUACCUAUGCCUCUAUUAUUCUAGGAUUUUGAAAGUUAAUUUCUCAUGUGUGCUGAAUUGAAAAGCGCAAUGAAAGGCACUUAUUUCAAAGCACAAAUGCUUUUGUUGCUAUAAGAAUCUGUAGAGAAUAAAUAUAUAUGUCUCCUCCGUUCAUUGCCCUUUUUUGCGGGUAGUUCAUUGCCAUUUUGGAUUCAUAUGUGAAGUCUAUUGUUGUUAAUUAUAGUUAACUAAUUUAUUAAUUCAUGGUUGUUUUAGUUGCUAACCAUAUGAUUGGUAGCCUUGGACAGAAGAGGGCCAGCAACAAACAGAAGCAACCACAGUCCUGUCCAGAACAUGUAUAUCUUCAGUUUUGGUUGCCUUCCGUUUACUUGCCAACAAGCGACACUAAGCUCACAUAUUUACUGUUUGCUUUGUUAUAUACUUAAUCUACUAGACAAAGUGUAAAAUGGAAAUUCAUGGUCGACAAUUUUGUAUAUUUAUAAACCUAGAUGCUACUCUAAUUGGUUUUACUUCUUCCAUAUAUUUUCUCCUCUUGGUGUGUAUAAACAGUGCACAAAGUUAAUUUCUUUUCCUUCUCGACCGCAUCUAAUUAAAGAAAAUAGAGAGGAAUCUAAGAGAUACACAACCAAAAGAACUUUGCUUCUUUGACUUUUCGGCCGUGUCUAACUUUUGGUAAAAGAGAGAGGAAUUUGAGAUAGAUAGACAACUUGAAGAGCUUUGAACAGCUUUGAACGUUCAAGUAUGCCGCUGGCCUCCUCGCAGCUGCUAUCGCGUGGCUGGCACCAGUGUGUGGCAGCUUCUGAGAUGGGCGCAGUUUACUCCGGGUUCAGUGAUGGUGUUGAAAAGCACCUUAACUGAGCCAAGGAAUUUAGUAGCAUUGUGGGAUGAUUAACCAAUUUUUUCUGUUUCCUAUACUAUCUUAUCAUAUUAUAAUUUUGGUGUCCUGGUAGGCAGGGAUCAGCUUUGGUGGCAUCCGAUGCUGGCAGGCCACGGGGUUAGAGCAGAGGAAGCUAACAUGGUGUUCGAAAUUCAGAUGGUCAUUGUGAUCCACCAGAUGCUGCGCCUCAUGUCACCCCGAGCCUCAAGGGCUUGUUAGCAUCAUAAAGUAAGAAUAUGCUUGCAAGUGCUCGUUUCCCAUAUGCUUGCCCACUCCUGUCUCGCAUCAAGCUUUCGUUUAUUUCCCUAAAAUUCCUCUAAUUUUGUUGUGUGCAUGUCUGAGAAAGAAAUAAGAGGAAUAAGGUAUGGUAUGUCUUGGCGAAGUACAUUAUUCCCUGGCUUGUGAAAUUAAUGCGCCCAAAUUCGCGUUCGGUCUGGUUUCGGACUACAAUGGCUCACUGUGUUGUAUUGCAACUAAAAACAGAUGGACAUAAUAAAGAAGCUUGGUGAACAAAUAUAUAUAUGAACCCUCUACACGGUAUAGAUGCUAUAAUUUUUGUUAAAUGGAAGUUAGUUUCAGAUUCUUAAAAAUAUUAUCCUUCAGUCCUAUACAUACAAGGUAUUGUCCUCGCAUGGAUAUAGCCUGCAACCCGCAUCUCUAAACAACACAAACCUAUCCACAAUCAUAAACUUGUGUAUUGAUCCUCUAUUUAGAUUUCGUAUUAGCUCAUUCAAGCUUGUGUGAAUUUUUUGCGUUUGCUUUACAAUGGCACAAUGCAUUUCGGUCGAUAUAUAUGUGAUGCCAUUGGUUGGCCUAGAUCAGAUAGCUAGAUUUGAUCGAUUUGGUUAAUAUAUGUUUAUGUUUCUGUUUAGGUUUCAGCACCUUUUGAUGUGUGUGCGUGCUGCCAUUGAGUAACUUGAUCUGUUUCCUAGCUAUUCUAUGUGCAUUUACAUGUAUAGGAUAGUCAUUUUGAUUCAGUUAAGAUAUGUUCAGAUUUCUGUUUAGAUUUCGGCACCUUUUAAAUGUGCUACCAUGGGGUAACCUAAGUCUAUUUUAAUGGCAACAGGACAUGCAAGUGCAUGGCCCACUGCUAAUAGUCCUACAAGCGACCGGAAUUGUUGCUGUUUUGACUUUAUCUGCUACAUGGUCUCUAUGUUUUCCCGUUGCUUCAUUCAGUAUGUCCACGUCAAACCAUAAAUUACAUGCAUUUGAAUGAUGUUAGCUUAGCACUCGAUGAUAAAUGUGAUGUUGUUUUUAUGUUAAUGUGAAACCCGAUCUAUCGGUUGUUAGUUUGAAUCAGUACCCAAGCCAUCCUCCUCACUGCCCUCCUCUCAUCUAUUCAGGUAGUUCUUCCUUCUUGGUAACAAUGAGAAAACGAUUAGGUUGGUUACACAGUAUACUUCAUGAUUGCGGUAGGCACAAAAUGAUUGGCAGACUAAAAUAACUAUACCUCAUUUCUAUUAUCAAGCUCUAAGUGUAUAUUGAGAUGCCUUUGUACAAUGAGAGAUCCAUGGGGUUGUAGGUUUUUGUGAUGUUUGUGGUCUUCUCUUUUCUUUUUCUUGAUUUGUAUUGGAUAUGCUACUCGCAUCUUUGAACAUGCAUAGGGCCUCUCAGUCUUUAACCCUGACUAUAAAAAUCCAUUGAUGGAAGCUGGGGAGGGCUGAGAUGAACAUCCGGCUCCUUGGGUCUAAGCCAUCAAGAUGGUAGAGACGAUGUUUCCAUGUCAUCUACUCCAGCAGCUGGACAAGGCAUAUAAAAACCAUGGAUCCUUUGCUCCCCAGGCCGCAAAAUGAUCACAAUGUCUGCGACCUCCUCCUAGAUGUAUUAAUCUCAAUCUCAUGUUUGGUUUUCUUCCCUUUUCUCUACUAAUAAUGUAAUUUCUUUUACUAAGAUAAUACCACGUUUGUUGUAAUGCCUUAUUUGAUGUAAGAUCCCUUUUCUACUUUGAAUGAAUUUACCGCAUAUAUUUCUUAUUUAGUUUAGUUCAUCAUUCAGAGACG
rnacentral:rRNA from 1 species